CCUGUAGGCAGGUGGAGAGGGGAUGGGGGAGGUCUCAGGUCCUCUUGCUCACCCAUCAGCUGUGUAGUGUCUGAAGUGAUUAAGGAGCUUGGGGAGAAUGCUGGAAGCCAAGCUUGCACAUUCUAGGCAGCCAUUUGGAAGAUUCUUCUCUGCGCAUGACCAGCUGAAAAGGAAAAACCCCGAAACAUUGGCACUGUGAUUUCUCCAUGUGAACAGUUUAGUUCGCCGAGGUGGACAUGCCUCAUUCAUGCUUAUGGAGUGACCGACCAGCCUUUAGUGACACCCCCUGAAAUGUGAGUCAUCCAUGGGUCACUAGUCAUUGGAGAAGAGCCCCUUAUACAAAACUUGGAGCUCAGACCACAAACAACAACAACAAUCCAAAAAAUAAAAAAAUGAAAAAUUAGGAGCAGAGACUAAAUGGAAAGAUG
rnacentral:lncRNA from 1 species